AUACGUAGGUGGCAAGCGUUGUCCGGAUUUACUGGGUGUAAAGGGCGAGUAGGCGGGACUGCAAGUCAGAUGUGAAAACGAUCGGCUCAACCGAUCGACUGCAUUUGAAACUGCGGUUCUUGAGUGAUGGAGAGGCAGGCGGAAUUCCUAGUGUAGCGGUGAAAUGCGUAGAUAUUAGGAGGAACACCAGUGGCGAAGGCGGCCUGCUGGACAUUAACUGACGCUGAGGCGCGAAAGCGUGGGGAGC
rnacentral:rRNA from 1 species